GUCUGUGGCCAUGCCUCCCUGAGCGCGCCAGAUCCCGUCUGAUCUCGGAAGCUGAGCAGGGUCGGGCCUGGUUAGUGCUUGGAUGGGAGACCACCUAGGAAGACCAGGUGCUGUAGGCA
rnacentral:rRNA from 1 species